rnacentral:rRNA from 1 species
UACGAAGGGGGCUAGCGUUGUUCGGAAUUACUGGGCGUAAAGCGCACGUAGGCGGACAUUUAAGUCAGGGGUGAAAUCCCAGAGCUCAACUCUGGAACUGCCUUUGACACUGGGUGUCUUGAGUAUGGAAGAGGUGAGUGGAAUUCCGAGUGUAGAGGUGAAAUUCGUAGAUAUUCGGAGGAACACCAGUGGCGAAGGCGGCUCACUGGUCCAUUACUGACGCUGAGGUGCGAAAGCGUGGGGAGCAAACAGG